AGAGUUUGAUCCUGGCUCAGGAUGAACGCUGGCGGCAUGCCUAAUACAUGCAAGUCGAACGAGGGUCCUUCGGGACUCGAGUGGCGAACGGGUGAGUAACACGUAGGGAACCUGCCCGUGCGACCGGGAGAACUUUCGGAAACGGAAGCUGAUACCGGAUAGGGACAGAGACGGCAUCGACUCUGUGUUAAAGGAGCUGAAAGGCUCCGCGCACGGAUGGACCUGCGGUGCAUUAGCUGGUUGGUGAGGUAACGGCCCACCAAGGCGACGAUGCAUAGCCGGCCUGAGAGGGCGGACGGCCACACUGGGACUGAGACACGGCCCAGACUCCUACGGGAGGCAGCAGUAGGGAAUUUUCGUCAAUGGGCGCAAGCCUGAACGAGCAAUGCCGCGUGAACGAGGAAGGUCUUCGGAUCGUAAAGUUCUGUUGAAGGGGAAAAAGAGCGGAGAGAGGAAAUGAACUCCGAUUGAUAUUACCCUUCGAGGAAGUCACGGCUAACUACGUGCCAGCAGCCGCGGUAAUACGUAGGUGGCGAGCGUUAUCCGGAAUGAUUGGGCGUAAAGGGUGCGUAGGCGGCCUGCUAAGUCUGGAGUGAAAGGUACCGGCUCAACCGGUAUAGGCUCUGGAAACUGGCGGGCUAGAGAGCAGGAGAGGGUGGUGAAACUCCAUGUGUAGCGGUAAAAUGCGUAGAUAUAUGGAAGAACACCAGUGGCGAAGGCGGCCGCCUGGCCUGUUACUGACGCUGAGGCACGAAAGCGUGGGGAGCAAAUAGGAUUAGAUACCCUAGUAGUCCACGCCGUAAACGAUGAGCGGUGGGUGUCCGGGGGGAAGGGGCCCCUGGGUGCCACAGCGAAAGCGAUAAGCGCUCCCCCCGGGGAGUACGCCGGCAACGGUGAAACUCAAAGGAAUUGACGGGGGCCCGCACAAGCGGAGGAACAUGUGGUUUAAUUCGAUGAUACGCGAGGAACCUUACCCGGGCUCAAACGUUGCAGGAAGGGCUUCUGAAAGGAAGCCCGUCUACGGACCUGCAACGAGGUGCUGCAUGGUUGUCGUCAGCUCGUGCCGUGAGGUGUCGGCUUAAGUGCCAUAACGAGCGCAACCCCUACCGCCAGUUGCCAACAGGCAAAGCUGGGGACUCUGGCGGGACUGCCGGCGCAAGCUGCGAGGAAGGCGGGGAUGACGUCAAAUCAGCACGGCCCUUACGUCCGGGGCGACACACGUGUUACAAUGGCAGGUACAGCGGGAAGCCACCUGGCGACAGGGAGCGGAACCCGAAAGCCUGUCUCAGUUCGGAUUGGAGUCUGCAACCCGACUCCAUGAAGCUGGAUUCGCUAGUAAUCGCGCAUCAGCCAUGGCGCGGUGAAUACGUUCCCGGGCCUUGCACACACCGCCCGU
rnacentral:rRNA from 1 species